rnacentral:rRNA from 1 species
AUGGGGAACUACCUGUCGUGCACGCUGGCCAAGACGCCGGGCGGGAAGGGCGCGCGGGUGAUCCUGCCCGACGGCGCGGUGCGGCGGGUCACGCUGCCGGCCACGGCGGCGGAGCUGAUGAUGGACGCGCCGGGCCACUUCGUGGCCGAGACGCGCCACGCGCGCGUCGGCACCCGCCUCGAGGCGCUCCACGCCGACGAGGACCUCGAGAUGGGCGUCGUCUACGCCACCUUCCCCAUGAAGCACAUCGGCACGAAGCUGGCCGCCGCCGACAUGGCCCGCCUCGCCGCCGCGGCCACCCGGGAGGCCCGCCGCUCCGCCAAGGUCUCCUCCGUGGGGGCCGCGGCUCAGCCCGAGCCGGCCAUCACCUUCGUGCCGGCCGCGGAGGAGGCGCCGUCUCCGAGGGCGCGGCUGGACGAGAUGGUGGACGACGCGGUGGCCGCGGAGAUCGACGUGCUCAAGCACCGCCUCAGCAGCGCGCGCUCCAGGCGGCCCAACCUCGAGACCAUCCACGAGGAGAAUCACCUCCUGUGCAGACGCUGA